AGGCACACCCCUAAGUACCAGUCCGUGAGUCAUUCAUGAGUAGCACUGCCAAUGAACUGACAGCCAUGCUGUGUCCCUCCACAUCCCCUAGGUGACUCGAAGAAGCCUUCCAAAAAGCGUGUGAAAAGGGAGCCCUACUCUACUACCAAGGUGACUUCAGGGAGCACAUUCAAUGAGAAUACAAGAAGAUAUGCUGUGCACACCAACCAGUGUCGGAGACCUCCUGGCUCCCGGGUAAAGAAGAAAAGGUACCCACA
rnacentral:lncRNA from 1 species